rnacentral:rRNA from 1 species
UGAGGAAUAUUGCGCAAUGGGCGAAAGCCUGACGCAGCGACGCCGCGUGGGGGAUGAAGGUCUUCGGAUUGUAAACCCCUUUCGGGAGGGAAGAGGGGACGGGCAACCGUUCGGACGGUACCUCCAGGAGCAGCCACGGCUAACUUCGUGCCAGCAGCCGCGGUAAUACGAAGGUGGCAAGCGUUGUUCGGAUUUACUGGGCGUAAAGGGAGCGUAGGCGGUUUGGUAAGCCCUCCGGGAAAUCUUCGGGCUAAACCCGGAAAGUUCGGAGGGGACUGCCAGGCUAGAGGACGGGAGAGGAGCGCGGAAUUCCCGGUGUAGCGGUGAAAUGCGUAGAGAUCGGGAGGAAGGCCGGUGGCGAAGGCGGCGCUCUGGAACGUUCCUGACGCUGAGGCUCGAAAGCGUGGGGAGCAAACAGGAUUAGAUACCCUGGUAGUCCACGCCCUAAACGAUGGACACUAAGUGUCGGCGGGUUACCGCCGGUGCCGCAGCUAACGCAUUAAGUGUCCCGCCUGGGGAGUACGGCCGCAAGGUUGC